rnacentral:rRNA from 1 species
GACGAACGCUGGCGGCGGGCUUAACACAUGCAAGUCGAACGGAAAGGCCCUGCUUGUGUGGGGUGCUCGAGUGGCGAACGGGUGAGUAACACGUGAGUAACCUGCCCUGGACUUGGGGAUAACUUCAGGAAACUGGUGCUAAUACCGGAUAGGAGCUCCUGCUGCAUGGUGGGGGUUGGAAAGUUUCGGCGGUUGGGGAUGGACUCGGGGCUUAUCAGCUUGUUGGUGGGGUAGUGGCUUACCAAGGCUUUGACGGGUAGCCGGCCUGAGAGGGUGACCGGCCACAUUGGGACUGAGAUACGGCGCAGACUCCUACGGGAGGCAGCAGUGGGGAAUAUUGCACAAUGGGCGGAAGCGUGAUGCAGAAACGCCGCGUGCGGGAUGACGGCCUUCGGGUUGUAAACCGCUUUCGCCUGUGACGAAGCGUGAGUGACGGUAAUGGGUAAAGAAGCACCGGCUAACUACGUG